GAUGAACGCUGGCGGCGUGCCUAAUACAUGCAAGUCGAGCGAACAGACGAGGAGCUUGCUCCUCUGACGUUAGCGGCGGACGGGUGAGUAACACGUGGAUAACCUACCUAUAAGACUGGGAUAACUUCGGGAAACCGGAGCUAAUACCGGAUAAUAUAUUGAACCGCAUGGUUCAAUAGUGAAAGACGGUUUUGCUGUCACUUAUAGAUGGAUCCGCGCCGCAUUAGCUAGUUGGUAAGGUAACGGCUUACCAAGGCAACGAUGCGUAGCCGACCUGAGAGGGUGAUCGGCCACACUGGAACUGAGACACGGUCCAGACUCCUACGGGAGGCAGCAGUAGGGAAUCUUCCGCAAUGGGCGAAAGCCUGACGGAGCAACGCCGCGUGAGUGAUGAAGGUCUUCGGAUCGUAAAACUCUGUUAUUAGGGAAGAACAAAUGUGUAAGUAACUACGCACGUCUUGACGGUACCUAAUCAGAAAGCCACGGCUAACUACGU
rnacentral:rRNA from 1 species